rnacentral:rRNA from 1 species
AUACGUAGGUGGCAAGCGUUGUCCGGAAUUACUGGGUGUAAAGGGAGCGUAGGCGGGGAUGCAAGUCAAAUGUUAAAACUAUCGGCUCAACUGGUAAGUGCGUUUGAAACUGCAUUUCUUGAGUGAAGUAGAGGCAGGCGGAAUUCCUUGUGUAGCGGGGAAAUGGGUAGAUAUUAGGAGGAACGCCAGUGGCGAAGGCGGCCUGCUGGGCUUUUACUGACGCUGAGGGUCGAAAGUGUGGGGAGCAAACAGGAUUAGAUGCCCUGGUAGUCCACACUGUAAACGAUGAUUACUAGGUGUGGGGGGACUGACCCCUUCCGUGCCGGAGUUAACACAAUAAGUAAUCCACCUGGGGAGUACGGCCGCAAGGUUGAAACUCAAAGGAAUUGACGGGG